rnacentral:sRNA from 1 species
AGUAUUUAUAGUUCUUCAAUGUUGAGUGAGUUCAUGGGAGAGUGGGUAUGAUGAGUUGACUCAAUUUAUCUCCUUCUAAUUUAGAAACACUUUUAAAAAUCUAAUUAUAAUCCAAAAGAAAUUGGAUCUGAAAACGGAACAUGCUUUAACAAAUUCUAGAACUUCAAAUUGAAAACCAUCUUUGGAAGAACCAAACUGUACCUUCUUCUUCGCAGCUUCCUUAAUACCAAGAACAUACAUAACGCUCUCAUCAUGUUUGCUUAUCCCUUAAAAAUACACCCAAAAGUAUAAUUCUUAAAAAUAUCACAUAGGGUUGUUUUUACUAUAAAGUUGGAUAAGACUGCAAAAUAUUUGCUUCAACAUGCAACUUUUCCCACUUUUUUUGUAACUUUUUUUCUCAAUUGCUGUUGUUGGGGAAUUGUAAUACGCAAUUUUUUGUGUGCAGAGCUUUGAAAUUAAGGAAGCACUACCGGUUGCAAGUUAUGAAGGCAUGUACUUCAAUCUGUACAUUAGUAGUGCUAUACAGGUGACUUUAAUGAAAAUGUCUGGAGAUGGUAUCAUGUCUAUUUUAGAUUUUUAAUGUCUUUAGUAGUAGUUGAGAUUAAUCAUUGAGAAAGAAGUUACUACAUUACAUGUAUAUGUUGUGUUAUUUUAAAACCA